GACGAACGCUGGCGGCGUGCUUAACACAUGCAAGUCGAACGGAAAGGCCCUGCUUUUGUGGGGUGCUCGAGUGGCGAACGGGUGAGUAACACGUGAGUAACCUGCCCUUGACUUUGGGAUAACUUCAGGAAACUGGGGCUAAUACCGGAUAGGAGCUCCUGCUGCAUGGUGGGGGUUGGAAAGUUUCGGCGGUUGGGGAUGGACUCGCGGCUUAUCAGCUUGUUGGUGGGGUAGUGGCUUACCAAGGCUUUGACGGGUAGCCGGCCUGAGAGGGUGACCGGCCACAUUGGGACUGAGAUACGGCCCAGACUCCUACGGGAGGCAGCAGUGGGGAAUAUUGCACAAUGGGCGGAAGCCUGAUGCAGCAACGCCGCGUGCGGGAUGACGGCCUUCGGGUUGUAAACCGCUUUCGCCGGUAACGAAGCGUGAGUGACGGUAAUGGGUAAAGAAGCACCGGCUAACUACGUG
rnacentral:rRNA from 1 species